UUUCUCUCCAGUUGUUGACAGAGUCCUGCACAAUCUCUUUAAAGGUAAGUUUUCAAUAUAUUUACAGGCUAAAAUAUGUAUGUAAAACAAAUAUCAGGAACUUGGAGAAUUGUGGAAUUUGAAGUUAUAAACAUUACAAGUUUUUCUUGAACAAUCUGAACUUUCCGUUAUGUAGGUUAUGGUAAUUUAUGGAUACAAUAUAUACAAGAGGAUACUUGGAAUUUUUUACUUAAAGGACUGGUCUUCCCCAACCAUAGACAGGGAUUUCUGAUCCAACUAUUCAACAAAGAAGCGUGGUCGAUACAAAAGUCUGAAUUUAAAGAAAAGGAAAAGAUAGUAGCAAC
rnacentral:lncRNA from 1 species